GCUGCUGGACCCACCCGGCCGGGAAUAGUGCUCCUGGUUGUUUCCGGCUCGCGUGGGUGUGUCGGCGGC
rnacentral:pre_miRNA from 10 species